UCCCCAAAGGAGUCAAGAUUCAUCAAACCAGGCAAAGAUGGUCCUUUUAAAGUCUUUGCUCUAUUCUCAUUACAAGACAAUGAGCAAAGAGGGGCAGCUGUAAUAGGCCCAAUUUGCCCAGGCCUAUAAUAAAUAAAGAAACCAAAAACCAAAAAAUAUAUGUAUCAAACAGAAAUAAAUAAACUAAAGUGUUUAUAAGGCCAAUGUCCAUUUACAAAAUUUCGGGCCUAAAUUAAACCCCAACCUAUUUAAAUUUAACUAUAGCCCAACAAUUACACCCAAAAUCCCUUAACCCAAUUCACAAAUGGCCCAAGGAAGCCCAAAUAGCCUGAGAACUCCAGAAACCCUAGAGGUUUCUGGAAUAUGCUAGAGCAGCACUAGAAGAUUGGCCUCCCAUGAGGGGUUCCCCACGCAUGGCCUCCACGUCACCAAGGUCUCCUCCUCCGUACAGCCACACCUGCAAUAGAAUACACGAGAAGCAGCAAAAUAUAACAGAAAAAUAGCAAAAAAAGAAAAAGAAAUAGAUUUUUUGUAAUUUUUAAUUUGUAUUUCUCUGGCUAUAAAAAGCCAACGAAUGUAGUCUGAUUUUUUACGCACACUAAAUAUCAAAAAGAGAGAAUCAAAAGUUAUCCGAAGGUGAUUUUUUAUUCUGUUUAUUUUUCUUUUUUUUUUUCAAAUUGUUUGCAAUAUUUUACAUGAAAGAACAAAAGGAAUACUUGAAACGACGCCAAUGAAAGCCCAAAUAUCUCAGAAAUAUUGAGAUAUGGGCGAGGGUCGAAUGGUGUUGAGUGUGUUCUUUCGAAUUUUGUUGCGUUUUUCUUGAAAGAAUAAUAUUGGAUAAAAAGUUUUUUUUUUAAAAAAGAUAGAAUAGCUUACCAGAUCUCCUUGAGCGUGGCUUUUGUUGGCAGAAUUUGGUCACUGCUGGCGCACUAUCGUCCACCAAAUGGAAUGGUGGUUCGACGGUUGCUAGAAUGAAACCCUAGCAGAUUGAUUUUAAGGCUGUAGUUUUUUGUUAAAAGGUUGGCUGUGUUUGGAAAAGAAAAUAG
rnacentral:lncRNA from 1 species